rnacentral:rRNA from 1 species
GUCCACGCCGUAAACGGUGGGCACUAGGUGUGGGUUCCAACCAACGGAAUCCGUGCCGUAGCUAACGCAUUAAGUGCCCCGCCUGGGGAGUACGGCCGCAAGGCUAAAACUCAAAGGAAUUGACGGGGGCCCGCACAAGCAGUGGAGCAUGUUGCUUAAUUCGAGGCAACGCGAAGAACCUUACCUGGGUUUGACAUGGUCGGAAAAGCCGUAGAGAUACGGUGUCCUUCGGGGCCGAUCACAGGUGGUGCAUGGCUGUCGU